rfam:Schistosoma mattheei strain Denwood, Zambia genome assembly, scaffold: SMTD_scaffold0000998
AUCUAGCUGACGAAUCCAAAAUAGAACGAAACGCACGUUUUGGAU